rnacentral:rRNA from 1 species
AUACGGAGGGUGCAAGCGUUAUUCGGAAUCACUGGGCGUAAAGGACGCGUAGGCGGGUUGGCAAGUCAGAUGUGAAAUCCUACAGCUUAACUGUAGAACUGCAUUUGAAACUGCUAACCUAGAGUAUGGGAGGGGGAGAUGGAAUUAGUGGUGUAGGGGUAAAAUCCGUAGAUAUCCCUAGGAAUACCGAAAGCGAAGGCGAUCUCCUGGAACAUAACUGACGCUGAGGCGUGAAAGCGUGGGGAGCAAACAGGAUUAGAAACCCCAGUAGUCC